CUAAAAUAAUCACAUUUCAAAAUCACAGAGAACCUUGACACUACAGUAUCCUAGAGGAUCACCUUAAGCUAUCCAUGAAGACAAUAUAGAUUAAAAAAACCUCUAAAUAGAAAUUCAACUGCUCUAUAAAAUAAUCAAAUUUCAAAUCAUAGAGAGCGAUGGCACUACAGUAUCCUAGAGGAUCACCUUAAGCUAUCCAUGAAGACAAUAUAGAUUAAAAAAACCUCUAAAUAGAAAUUCAACUGCUCUAUAAAAUAAUCAAAUUUCAAAAUCAUAGAGAGCGAUGGCACUACAGUAUCCUAGAAGAUAACGCUAAGCUAUCCACGAAGACAACACAUAUAAACAAC
rnacentral:lncRNA from 1 species